rnacentral:rRNA from 1 species
UACGUAGGGCGCAAGCGUUGUCCGGAAUUAUUGGGCGUAAAGAGCUCGUGGGUGGUUGGUCGCGUCUGCCGUGAAAACCCAUGGCUUAACUGUGGGCGUGCGGGCGAUACGGGCAGACUGGAGUACUGUAGGGGAGACUGGAAUUCCUGGUGUAGCGGUGGAAUGCGCAGAUAUCAGGAGGAACACCGAUGGCGAAGGCAGAUCUCUGGGCCGUAACAGACGCUGAGGAGCGAAAGCAUGGGGAGCGAACAGG